rnacentral:tRNA from 1 species
GUUGUUGUGGCCGAGUGAUUAAGGCGAUGGACAGGAAAUCCACUGGAGUCUACCUGUGCAGGUUUCAAUCCUGCCGACAACG